UACGGGGGGGGCAAGCGUUGUUCGGAAUUACUGGGCGUAAAGGGCUCGUAGGCGGCCAACUAAGUCAGACGUGAAAUCCCCAGGCUCAACCUGGGAACUGCGUCGGAUACUGGAUGGCUUGAAUCCGGGAGAGGGAUGCGGAAUUCCAGGUGUAGCGGUGAAAUGCGUAGAUAUCUGGAGGAACACCGGUGGCGAAGGCAGCAUCCUGGACCGGCAUUGACGCUGAGGAGCGAAAGCCAGGGGAGCAAACGGG
rnacentral:rRNA from 1 species